rnacentral:tmRNA from 1 species
GGGGCUGAUAUUGGAAUCGACAGGAAAUGUAACUGAUUGGUAAGCAUGCCGGAGGAUCAUAUCUCACUUCGUUACCAAACGGAUAUGAAACCAUUAAUUGGCAAAUCUAACUUUGCCUUGGCUGCCUAAUUCUAGGAAUUAGAAUGCCUUUAUGCACUUCGUUUGACACCUGCUAUACAGCGAUGUUGCAUAUCAACAGUCUGCAGGUUAGCUCAAAGGAAUGUCUCGGUCCGGCGAGUGAAACUUUUCGAGUCUACGGAUCAUACUAGUUUGUCAUUGAGCAGGUAUGAUCCGGAAACCAAAAUCAAUGACUAAGCAUGUAGAAGGCUAAUGAGUACUUUCGCUGGACCCGGGUUCGACUCCCGGCAGCUCCACUA